UACGUAGGGGGGCAAGCGUUGUCCGGAUUUAUUGGGCGUAAAGAGCUCGUAGGUGGUUCGGUAAGUCGGAUGUGAAAUCUCCAGGCUCAACCUGGAGGGGUCAUUCGAUACUGCCGUGACUAGAGGUCGGUAGGGGAGUGUGGAAUUCCUGGUGGAGCGGUGAAAUGCGCAGAUAUCAGGAGGAACACCCGUAGCGAAGGCGGCACUCUGGGCCGAUACUGACACUGAGGAGCGAAGGCCAGGGGAGCGAACGGG
rnacentral:rRNA from 1 species